GCGCCCGUAGCUCAGGUGGAUAGAGCAGUAGUUUCCUAAACUGCGUGCCGGUGGUUCGAAUCCACUCGGGUGCACCA
rnacentral:tRNA from 1 species